CAAGUCGAGGGGCAGCGGGUGGAGUAUUUCGGUACUCCUGCCGGCGACCGGCGCACGGGUGCGUAACGCGUAUGCAACCUACCUUUAACAGGGGGAUAAUCCGAAGAAAUUUGGUCUAAUACCCCAUAAUAUCAUUUAAGGCAUCUUAGAUGGUUGAAAAUUCCGAUGGUUAGAGAUGGGCAUGCGUUGUAUUAGCUAGUUGGUGAGGUAACGGCUCACCAAGGCUACGAUACAUAGGGGGACUGAGAGGAAGGUCCCCACAUUGGAACUGAGACACGGUCCAAACUCC
rnacentral:rRNA from 1 species